rnacentral:rRNA from 1 species
CGUUCCCGGGUCUUGUACACACCGCCCGUCACACCACGAGAGUUUACAACACCCGAAGCCGGUGGGGUAACCCGCAAGGGAGCCAGCCGUCGAAGGUGGGGUAGAUGAUUGGGGUG